rnacentral:lncRNA from 1 species
CUUGUUUUGUACUUUGUACUGAAAAGUUGUUUUCAUCAUGUUAGAAAAAGAGUCAAAUAUCAAAUGUGUUUAGUUUCAAAAUCAAAUUCGCUUUUUUCCUGGAACUGAAAUAUGAGGUGCAGAGAAAUGUGAGGGAAUAUUCAGUGCGCGUGGAAUAGCACCGUUUAUGUAUUUCUUUACAUAUUUAUAUUGUGCUUUUAAAAGCACAAACACUGGAUGCAAGAGAGCAUUUUAGGAUAUUUUAGAAAGUUCAAAAAUCCCACACUUCUUUUUCAGUCAGUUCCGAUCUGCAGUUUGAUCAAUUAAAUUAAUGCCUAAAAAAAUCAAGGCAAUAAACUGCGUGGAAAAUCAGGGCCAAAUGACGAUCAGCCAGCGGCGACUCUUGAUCUACUGACCUCGCGCUGCCUUCAGCCCUCGCGGUCGAUCAAAGGUGCACUUGGGACUUGCUGACGCCCCCUCGGGGGACACGGCGGGGGUCCGCAGCGCGUCCCGUCAGUCCCGCUUGUCGCCCAGAGCCGAGCCGAGCCGAGCCGAGACGAGAGGAAGAUCACGAUCAUCAUGUCGCAUCAUCAUCAUCAUGUGCUGCUGGUGCUGCUGUUCGCCUGCGGAGCUCAGCUGAUCGCCAUCCAGGCGCAGCAGAGUUACGACACUCGCCCCCCCCUCUUUAAGGACAUCAUAAAUCAUGCGAUUAGACACGCGAACGAAAAGGCGAGAUUCCACUUGAAUUUUUUCGGUGUCCUGAAAUCUGAGGUUACAUCGAGCAGAUUUUUCCUUACGAUUCACCUAAAACCAACAGAGUGCACAAAGGACGACAAGGGCGAGCAUCGGAAUGACUGCAAGUUUAAGAGCGGGACGCCCUUUAUAAACUGCGCUGUGUGCGGAGAUCGCUCUGGUGACACCAUACACGAGCCUUUCAUUGACUGCAGGUUGCAGCCAAAGAUGAAUCAGGCUGCUGAGGAAGAGCGGAAAGAGAAAUGUAACAUUACAGAAAUGUUUGGAAGUAAACAUCUGUUGAGUCUUAAAACCACAGAAGAAGAUGCCUUUGAAUGUCUUGGCUGCUUCUGAGAGGAAAAAGGCAUUUCAUCAUAAUAUCCAGACAUAGAACUUGGGGGGGAAAAAAAAAACAGGAGUCUGCUUACAGCACAAUAUAACUUAAUGACUCAUAGUGGAAUUAAAUAAAUCAAUGCAGCUAGGUGUUGCA